CUUUCUCCCCGCCGCAUUCCCGGUGUCGACUUACUAGCUGCAAGCCUCUGCCUGCCUUCCUGCGCGCCGUUCCCCGCUAGUCGCUGCUGCUGGCGCGCACUCGCCGGGUUUUUCCUCCCACGGCCUCGAGAUGGUGGUGAAUGUGGCACGGAGGAGCCGGGCCUUCCAACCCGGUGGGCCCGAGCUCCGAAAGGCCCCCUCGGCAGUGAGAGGGGCGGGAGCCCGCGGGGGCCGCGCCCUUCUCUCGCUUCGGACUGCGCAACGCUGCGCUCUGGGCUGACAGGUGAGUGUUGCAGGCAGGCGGCCGGGUUUACGGAAGGGGUGGGGGUUUGGGAACCGGUCUCCUGGGGGAUGCGGGGAUGAAUCCCUGGGCCUGAAGUGUCUUAAUUCAGGGGGAGGCCGCAUGCUGGUGUCAGGAUGGCCUCCAGUUGAAUCUGUGACAUUUACCAGCUAGGUGAUUUUGGGACUGGUGACUACGCGCGAGACCUCUGGAGGUCGCCCUGGUAGACACGGUUUUCAGAAGGACGGGUUUUAGGCAUUCAGACCCUUGCGUGCAUCCCAGCUUGUUGCUUUCAGCCUCGCUAAGUGACUAAGCGACCUUCAGGAAGUAACUUAAUCGGUCUAAACCUCUUACCUGUAAUAGGCGGAUAAAACGGUCCCAUCAAGACUGAGAAAAAGCACACCAGCUAUUGGCACAGCGUGGGCAGUGGGGCCUACAGGAUGACUGACUUAGUCUACAGAGAUCCCGGCGUACUUAAGCAGGUAGUAAUGAUGGACAGGUGAGGCUUUAGGCGGCCGCCCUGGGAUCUGAAUUGCCCCUUGGCCCUUAUCGAAGCUGCAGCUGCUUCCGCAUAGCUGCUGUGGUCAAAAAGGAGCCCAGAGUGACAGUUUUCCUUGACGGUCGCCGUUCUGUUUGUUGUAACUGAUCUGCAACAUUUUGGGAAAAUACAGUUCCAUUGUACCUGCCACCUUUCAGCUGUAGCCAGAGACCUUUAUCAAAAUGGGCUUGUUUCCACAGAACAGCAGAACGGUUGGGGGUUUGCAUGUACAGUUAACCAGCAUAAGACUCGUACUGGGAAAAUCCAGCUGGGAUGUGACACAGCUUAACUGAUAGCUUAAGGCAUCAGUAUUGGGACCAAAGGCUGGUCAGAUUUGUAUCAUUCUGAGGACCAAAUGAUGGGAACAAUAAAAUUGUUCAUGACAGUUGUUCUCAUUUUGCUGUCCAGAUGAAGACUCUUAAGAUGACAGAAGGUGAUUUUUCUGGUGAUCGAGGACUUCCGGGGUAAUGACAGUGAUGAAAUGCAGGGGACCUGGUUGCCCCCAAGUUUCCUGGCAGUGUGUGAUACUGAGGAGGUGAGCUUGUUUCUGGAGCUGUGCUUUAAGGUAAAGUUGAUCAGCUUAAUCCUCCUGAUCCCUUUCCCAUCGGAUCUGAACACUGGUCUUGGUGGUCGUAAAAGGAGGAAAAGUAAUAGUGAAGCUGGCCUAAAUGUUGUAAUCUGGUAUAUGGCAUGUGGGCUAGUUUCAGACAGGUUUCAGAGAUGGUUGGAUCUCUGAAAUUGUAAAAUGAAGUAUAAUCUUAGGCUAAGGGAAGGAUGCGUGUGAAGCUCUGGAGGUUGGUAUAGUAAUAGCUGACCUAUUACUGCAUUUGGGAGGGAUCUGUCAUAGCUUCCUUGCCUCUUAAUUAAGGGUGGUGUUUUUUUCUUUUAGAUUCAUGUUACAUGUAAAGCUGUCCUCAUUUGUGACUAUGGACCUAUGGAGUUGGGACAAUCUCUAUGGGAAGCAGAAGGCAAGGACCCCGGUCAUUUUAGGUAGAAACAACAGCAUGCUAAUGCAAAAAAUUAUGCAGUGUGCUACUGAACUUCAGAGGUGAUCAAUAAAAGAAGAAUAAAAAGACUAAUAAAAGU
rnacentral:lncRNA from 1 species